AGUGAACGCUGGCGGUGGGCCUAACACAUGCAAGUCGAACGGCAGCACAGGACGUCUUGCUCUCUGGGGGGCGGGUGGCGGACGGGUGAGGGAUAUAUCGGACUCUGCCCAAUCGCGGGGGAUAACGCAGGGAAACUUACGCUAAUACGGCAUACGACCUUCGGGGGAUAGAGCGGUAUCGCAAGACCUUUCGCGAUUCGAUGAGCCGGUGCCGGAUUAGCUAGUUGGCGGGGUAAUGGCCCACCAAGGCGACGAUCCGUAGCUGGUCUGAGAGGAUGAUCAGCCACACUGGAACUGAGACACGGUCCAGACUCCUACGGGAGGCAGCAGUGGGGAAUAUUGGACAAUGGGCGCAAGCCUGAUGCAGCCAUGCCGCGUGGGUGAAGAAGGUCUUCGGGUUGUAAAGCCCUUUUGUUGGGAAAGAAAUCGUUCAGACUAAUACCCUGGGAGGAUGACGGUACCCAAAGAGUAAGCACCGGCUAACUUCGUG
rnacentral:rRNA from 1 species